ACGGAUUAACAAGUUGACCAGUACAAUAUUUCAUUUCUUUAUAGGGUUUAUGUUGUUGUCAAUUGAGUACGAUUUUGAAUGGGAGAUGGAUAUGAAUGGACAGCUUAUAGUGAAGAUGUUAGAUUCCUUGCACUGCAACUGUUCAGUUGUCAAUCAUGCUGUUCACUGCCCCAAUGUUCAUUACAUCUUUUAAUUGCUGUUCCAGGUGAUUAUCAGAUUCCCUUAUUAUAACAGUAUAUCCAAAUCUCAAGACUUAUAUUAGGCAUCCAUGAACUUUUGAUGUAUUGUACUAUUAAACAAGCAAAUUAUGAAUAAGAUAUAUGAGUUCAUGGUGAGCGUCGGAAAUACACAGGUAUGUUCAAUUUUUAAAACUCUUUUCAUAUAUUUGUACCAUCGUACCCUAUACUCAUGUAUUACAAAGUAAACCAAAUUUUGAGUUGAGGCAUAAUUUGUUUUCCUUCACUAAUUGGUACCCUUUAGCUUAUCUGCUUUCAUCUUUGUAAUCCUAUGUUUGGUUUGUAUAUAUGUAAAUGCUAUGUUUUUAAA